rnacentral:rRNA from 1 species
AAUCCCUCUGGAUUUAAAUUUCGCAAGAAUGGGAAGAAUUAGUAGGGGCCAAUACCCCCUAUGAUGACGGUACCAUUUGUAAGCUCCGGCUAACUCCGUGCCAGCAGCCGCGGUAAUACGGGGGGAGCAAGCGUUGUUCGGAUUUACUGGGCGUAAAGGGCGCGUAGGCGGCCAGCGCAAGUCAGUUGUGAAAUCUCCGAGCUUAACUCGGAACGGUCAACUGAUACUGCGCGGCUAGAGUGCGGAAGGGGCAACUGGAAUUCUCGGUGUAGCGGUGAAAUGCGUAGAUAUCGAGAGGAACACCUGCGGCGAAGGCGGGUUGCUGGGCCGACACUGACGCUGAGGCGCGAAAGCCAGGGGAGCGAACGGGAUUAGAUACCCCGGUAGUCCUGGCCUUAAACGAUGGAUGCUUGGUGUCUGGGGUUUUAUAGUCCCCGGGUGCCGCAGCUAACGCGUUAAGCAUCCCGCCUGGGGAGUACGGUCGCAAGACUGAAACUCAAAGGAAUUGACG